CUUUGGACCCCUCUCCGUCGUCCUCGUCUCAACUGAAGCUGAUGGGAUCCGUCACCGUCGAAGCCUCGGGAUUCUAUGCGGAUGAACGGUUAAGAAUCAAAAACAUUCUUCGAAAGAAAGCUGUUAGGGGGAAACGAAGCCUUGCAUAACGUGAGUGUUCGCAUCAUGAAGUCGAAUUGUUUUCGUGAAGAAUUCUAGAAAUUGGUUUAUUUCCCAAUUUUGGCUUACUGCUCAUCAAACUCAAAUUUUUUGGUGGCUGGGACAGUAUUGAAAGAUUCGAAACACUGUAACUCUGUGCUCUCCCACUAAUGGACAGUUAAGAGAAUAUAGGAAUAAAACAGUUGCGAUGCGCAAUGCUGCUCUUUUGUACUUAGCAUACGAGAUUGGUAUUUGCGUUAGAAUUUCGUCUCAGAUUCGGCGCAAAAGGAAGGAUCUUAUUUGCCAAGGAUUAUGUGCACAGAAGAUUGAUGGUCUACGAUAGCAAGGUUUCUUUGGCAAUCCAGUUAAUAUUCCUUCUAUUCUCAUGAACUGGUGGUGGAGGUCCAAUCCACGGGAGGUUCUAUGAGCUGUUGUACCACUAUCAGGACAAGGUUCUCAAGUUAGGCCCAGAUGUCCUGCGCUUUUAAGUGAUUAAUCCUUAUUAGAAGCACUAUAUCCGGCAUCAAAAGGUUCAAAUUGGUGGUCCCUCAGUGACGAGGUGGGCCUUAUCAACGAACACUUUGGAUGCAAGAUUUGGAUUUGGAUUUGGAUAACACCCAGAAGUCACGUUGGGUCCGUGAGAGCUCAGCUUCUGAUCCCACAUCUUUUUCACCUCUGGUUUAAGAUAUUGGGGCAAAAAAUAUCCCCAGGCCACUUUAAGAGCAUAUUUGCAAGUGACCAGAG